UUUGAGGUUGUCAAGUGAAGGAGGCUCCCGGCCCCCCCCGCUCCCCCCGCUCUUUCUCCCUCCCUCCCUCCCUCUCCCUCCCGCCGCCGCCGCCGCCGCCGCGCAGGGGUCGCCGCGCUCCCCGCCGCUGCCGCCGCCAUCAGCCGCCGCGCCGGCCCCUCCGCCAGCAUACGGAUUAACUGAGGCCUUUGACAAGUUUAUGGAGCUGCCAUCUCUCUGCUUGCUGUACUUUCCGUUUCUGAGAGGAGAAAGUGGUGCAUGAGAUUAGAGGAAAAUGCCUCGGACAAAGCAGAUACAUCCCAGAAAUCUGAGAGAAGACAAGUUGUUGCUGUUUUUCCUUCUCAAUCAAGUAUUUCUCUUUGGAAACAAUGGCAGACAGGCCCAUAAUGUUCAACAGCCGCUUCCAAAUCUUCUAGUGCUUUGCAUUUGAUAAGGAAAUGCAAGUAUAAUAUAAGUAACUUUGCUGAAUAGGUUGAUAGCUUUGCAAUAAUCUAAAAGUCAUGCUUAAGUUUGCUGGAAAGCUGUGUAUGUAAUGGCUUUAAAAUGUCCAGUGGAGCUGGGCAUCUUCUGCUUCUCAAGUGUGAGUUAACAAAGUCUCUCUGUGUUGUUUUAAGAUUGUAAUGUGCUUUUAGUGCUGAAAUAGGUCUGUCUGUGUUGAAAGCUGACAGAUUGAUACUCCUUAUUAGUGUUGGUUUUGUAGUCUAAGUUAUGAAUAGAUUUGUGUGCUGUACUUUAUUCAUGAUUUUCAUCAAAUGCCUUAAUAAAAAUAUUGAGCUUU